UGGUAUGAAACUUAUUGUUGCAUUAUUUUGCUAUAUGUUCAGAAGAACAGCAAGAAGUUUACUCUUAAAUUAUUUUGCUCUAUUAGUAAUAGAAGCUUGGGGCAUACUGAGUAGCAAUGUGUUGCUCAUUACAAUGAACCAAAUGAUUUUCAUUAGAACGAUGGAGUAAUAAUAACAAUACAUUAACGGGGGCACGACAACAAAAUUCGUGCUAGUAAAUGGCAAAUAUAUUAUAUACUCCUGCAUGGUCUGCAAUUUUAAAGUGACUGCCAAUGACUUGUGUAUUUCUAGAUUUAAUGCUUAGGCUGCACUUAGGCAACAAUUUUUCUUGUUAUCAAGAUUAGCAUAUCAUCUAGAGAAACUCACUACACUAUAUUGUUGCGAAACUAAUAUUGGUAGGCACUAGGCACAUAAACAUCUACUUCAUCAGCUCAACUCUUCUAUCUUUUUUGUUGUUACACAAUCAUCUCUAUAUCAACACAUAAACAUCUAUAUAAUCAGCUCAACUCUCUUUUUUAUUGUUCACCAAAUGUAUUGGCUGUGAACUUGGUUGUUGCUACUGGAUGAUGUAUAAACUAGAUACCUGAGUAUAAACUAGAUACCUGAGUAUUUGAUCUUAUUUAAUUUCUUACUGUUAUGGAAAUUAGAUACUUUUCAGAUAAUUGUGCUUGAAAACAAAUACUGAGCCUAUUUUUUGUUCACUGGUAUUGCAGAAGAAAUAUUUUUGGGAAUACAAAGGUGCUAUUACAAAAGGGCAAGAACUGGCAGCAGAAGGGAGGAAAGAUGAGCUGCAAAGCUUCUGUAUUGAUCAGGUGAUCCUCUUACCCUUGGAACUAGUAGAGAGAUGAUUUUUUUUCCUUCUACCCUAGUAAGCAAACAAACAUGAAUUUAGCACUUACCAAUAAGCAUUUCAGGUUGAGAGAAUAAUGGAGCUGUGGAACAAAAGUGAUGAGUUCAGAAGGGACUAUAUUCGGUGCAACACCAGGAGUACAGUGAGGAGACUUCAAACCCUGGAUGGCCGAGCACUUGGUCCAGGUGAGCAGCCACCAGUAAUUCUUAAUGCCACGAUCACUGAAAGAGUCUCCAAAAACAAUUCUCAGAUCAAGCAUUUGACGCUGGAACAAGAAACGAAAUCAACAUCAAUAGAAUCUGUUGAUAUAAAGGAUGAAUCUGUUUCGAAGGUUGUCAUACAAAAAACCGAAAGAAAUCAGACAACUAAAGGAAUAAAGCCUGCAAAACCUGCUCCUUCGGAGAAAUCAUCAGUUGCAGUUUUACGUUGGGGAGAUGAACCCAAUGAGCCUGAAGAUAGUAUUGAAGAACCUGUGAGAACAAAAGAGGAAGAGGAGCUGAUCUUAAAGGCUGAAAAAACAAGAAAAGAAGACGAAGCAGCUAAGUUAAAGGAAAAGCGGAGGCUAGAGGAGAUAGAAAAAGCUAAGGAAGCAAUGGAGAGGAAAAAACGUAAUGCAGAGAAAGCCCAACAAAGGGCCAUUUUGAAGGCUCAAAAAGAAGCUGAGCAAAAGGAGAAGGUAAUAGCAUAUAUAUGAUUAUAAAAUGUUAUUUUUACGACCUAUGUAGACAACCCUCACUUAAUUGUUUCUGAACAAAGUACACAUGCUUUCUGCAUAAAACCAUCUGCACUAUAUGAUUUAGAUUCUAUAUCUUGUUCUUAAACUAUAUUAACAUGCAUAUAUUUGGAUGCAGGAAAGGGAGAAGAAGGCAAGGAAGAAGGAAAGAAGAAAGGCAGCUACUACUGACAAUGCCGAAAACACAGAACAAGAACCUGCUCCUACCUCAGAAUCUCUCACAAUUACCGAAGAAAUAGAUCAGAGUGAGAAACCAGUUGAGGUAACAAAAAGGCCGCAGAAACAACCUCAAUUCCCUAAGCAGACUAGUAAGUCAAAAUCCGUGCCCCUGCCUCUGCGCAACCGUGGGAAGAGACGAAUUC
rnacentral:lncRNA from 1 species